UGUGAUGCCAUGUUACUGUCACAUCUACUUGAAUAGUGCAUUCUGUCUCAAAUGAUAAGGACAUAGCUCAUAAUAGCUCCUAGUGUAUUUAUAAGGCUGUAAACCACACUGCUGAGAAGCCAGCUCUAAAACAAUACCCACGCAGCAUUUGUAACAGAUAUUCCUCCAAGUCAAACAGCUCAGCAGGAAUACAGGGCUCAUCUAUCAAAACCAAGAGGAGCUAAGGUAGAAUGGACCCAGGCUCACCAGUUUGAACACAGCCUAAUAGCUCUGCAAAGGCAUCCUAGAAGGUCGUAGUAGCCCAUCAUGCCUCACUGUGCAUAGACACUCUUCCUCACAUAGCACCGAGACAUGCUGGCAUCCUCAUUUCUUGGCUAGUUGUUCUGUCACCAGGCCAGAUGCUCAGAAUGGAGCAGCAUGAGGUGCAAAAGGA
rnacentral:lncRNA from 1 species